rnacentral:lncRNA from 1 species
GUCCGGGGCCAGACACGAGACUGACCCGGAAAUACCGCCAAGCCUUUCAGCAAACCCUGUUCUUCUGGAGGGAGGAACCCUGGGGGAUGGGCAGGUGGCAGAGUGAGAAAAUCUGGGGGUGAGAACAGAAUUGGGUCGCAGGGGCCCUGUGGCGGAGGCAGAGCCCUGGCUUGCGUUUCCACAGAAGAAACUCUUCCUCGGUUGACUUUCCAGAAAAACUGUGAGUCUUCUGACAUUUCAGCAGACACCAGUUUUUCCUGCUGUGGCUUUCGGUGAGAGGGCUGGGGAAGGAUUGGUUCUUUCGGGGAUCCCCUGGCCAAUUCUGCAUUUGCUGGGUUUGUCGGGCCGCUGUUAACAGUGCGCGGUACUGACGCUCCCGCCUGGCUCUGGGCCACUCCACAAACUCAACUCACCAAGAAGCUUUCUCUGCGGUUCACUGCACACUCACGGGCUUCACACUGGCAACUUCAGUUUAGGAUUUUACAAGUGGCACCAAAGGCAAGAAUUUGGUCAGACAUGCCAAUCCAGAUUAGAGGAAAUGGAACGCAGAGGAGCUGGACAUCCUCACCUCUCAUGGUCUGCAAGUCUUUGAUUCCCCUUCUCCUCCUCCUCCUUCCAAACCCCUCCAACACUCUUGAACAUAUCUCUGACUUCUGUUUAUCUUACACUUGCUGACAAAUCUCCUUGGAAGCUGGUGGUCCAUUUAGCCAUGCCACAGCCAUAUCAUGGCCCCCAAGACACACCACAGCAUUGUAAGGGCCCCGAAGAAAACAUAUCAUAAAAUUAGAUAAAGCUG